rfam:Thecamonas trahens ATCC 50062 unplaced genomic scaffold supercont1.38, whole genome shotgun sequence.
CUCGUCUUAGCUCAGUUGGAAGAGCAUCGGUUUGUAGCACCGAGGGUCGCUGGUUCGAUUCCGGCAGACGAGA